UAUCCCCUUCAAGGAACUCCCGUCGCCCACGAUCAGUCGCUCAAUGAUCACGUGAGAAAAUUGCCACGAACGUCUACCUUUCACCAGAUAUUCACCUAACUUGAUGUUCCAAUCAACGCCGAUGAGAUGAGUACCUUCCGGAUAAAAUCUCAGAACUACGGAGAGUCCGAACGUUUAUUCUAAAGGAACUAAUCAAGAAAUUGUUGAACAUAAACGGAAGCUUUCAACGGGAUUUUCUGAGUCAGCGGAAUUUAAAUUGUAUAUCGCAAAUGCGUCGUGUGUAAAAUCGCAAGGGGAUACUGUAUGCAGGUCCGAUUCACACCCGUCUUAACGCCGAUCUCGAGUACACGAAUGGAGCCCAUAGAUCGCAGUAUCUCGUCGUUGGAAACAAUAUAUUGUAACGUUUUGAAGAGAUGCUCUUUGUAUGGACUGAUCAGCUCGGCGCAUUCCAUCUCAAAUCCCAAAAGAUCAUUGUUGCUCAUCUCGCCGGAACGAGCGGGAUCUCGAGAUGCAAUGAUAUGAGGAGGCUUCACCGAAUCUUCUAAAGCGCCGCUUGGAGCUCGGUUAUGCUGUCCAAACAAUUUUCGGACGUCUCACCUACUGUCCCCUUCUUGUCGC